AGUCGAGCGAUGAACACCUUCGGGUGUGAAUUAGCGGCGAACGGGUGAGGAACACGUGAAGAAUCUGCCUUCAACUCUGGGAUAACUCCGGGAAACCGGGGCUAAUACCGGAUAUGAGCCUCGAUCGCAUGAUUGGGGCUGGAAAGUUUUUCGGUUGAAGAUGACUUCGCGGCCUAUCAGCUUGUUGGUGAGGUAAUGGCUCACCAAGGCGACGACGGGUAGCCGGCCUGAGAGGGCGACCGGCCACACUGGGACUGAGACACGGCCCAGACUCCUACGGGAGGCAGCAGUGGGGAAUAUUGGGCAAUGGAGGAAACUCUGACCCAGCGACGCCGCGUGAGGGAUGAAGGCCUUCGGGUUGUAAACCUCUUUCAGUAGGGAAGAAGCGAAAGUGACGGUACCUACAGAAGAAGCACCGGCUAACUAUGUGCCAGCAGCCGCGGUAAUACAUAGGGUGCAAGCGUUGUCCGGAAUUAUUGGGCGUAAAGAGCUCGUAGGUGGUUCGAUACGUCGGAUGUGAAAAUCAGGGGCUCAACCCCUGACCUGCAUCCGAUACGGUCGAGCUAGAGUUUGGUAGGGGAGACUGGAAUUCCUGGUGUAGCGGUGGAAUGCGCAGAUAUCAGGAGGAACACCGAUGGCGAAAGCAGGUCUCUGGGCCAAUACUGACACUGAGGAGCGAAAGCGUGGGGAGCGAACAGGAUUAGAUACCCUGGUAGUCCACGCCGUAAACGGUGGGCGCUAGUUGUGCGAACCUUCCACGGGUUUGUGCGACGCAGCUAACGCAUUAAGCGCCCGCCUGGGGAGUACGAUCGCAGAUUAAA
rnacentral:rRNA from 1 species